GGUGUAUUUAGGGGCAAUUAACCCUAAAAAGAAAGAGAAAUAAAAGCCUUUGAAAGCACAAGAACGCAAACUAGGGACUCAAGACUCAAAAAGGAGCUCGUCAAAUAUCAGAAAAAAUGCGACCUAGCAAAACAUGCAGGACAACCUAAAAGCUGCAGCACGCUGAUUACCCAGUCGGACAAACACCUAACAAUAAGGAAAACUCAUGUUGGUGUGGAAGUCGUCCAACUCCAUUUCAUCCGACCAACUGCCAUUCGCGAUAUUAUUCAUAGCACGCAUGCUAGCAUUACUAUUGUUAUGAUCAACAACAAAGUCCAUAGAAGUUCAAGGCGUUCUUCGUGGAAGCAGCCCAAAGCUCAAGUCAAGCUCAACAUUCGAUCCAGAAAUAAGGCGAAGACCCUCUGCAUCAACGUUAUAAAGCCCAAAGCUCAAGAUUUAAGACGUUCUUCGUGGAAGCAACCCAAAGCUCAAGUCAAGCUCAACGUUCGAUCCAAAAAUAAGGCGAAGGCCCUCUGCAUCAGUGUUAUAAAGCACAAAACUCAAGAUUCAAGGCGUUCUUCAUGGAAGCAGCCCAAAACUCAAAUCAAGCCCAACGUUCGAUCCACAAAUAAGACGUAGGCCCUCUGCAUCAAUGUUACAAAGCCCAAAGCCUCAAGUCAAACCAAUGUAUAUUUCGGGGAAAGAGACUCACCAUAUGAUAUAAAUGAUAAUACUUAGAAGAGAAAAUACUUAAUAAAAAUGGUUGAGUAUAUUGUAAGUGAUGAAAUGUCUUAAAAUGUAGUGUUAAUAAUGAUAAUUAAUUGUAUUAUAAGUGGGGAAGGAGACUCACCAUAUGAUAUAAAUGAUAAAUAAGUCAAUGUAUUAAAGAUAAUAAACUGUAGGCUGCGAUGCACAGAUUCGCGCAAAAACAAUACCGUGCAGUAUCCGAUUCGUGCAGGGGACGGGUGCGGGCGCGAUUCGCGUGGGAUUAGCCACCUGGCGAAUCCCCCCAAAAAUUAAAAAAAAUAUCGGAUUCGCGAAUCGGGAUUCUCACUCUCGACGGACGGCUGUUGGCUGACAGGAGGCGAGGCGGCAUGAUCCGAGACGGUUGAGCAGGGCGGCGGGGCCGAAGGGCAGGCGCCGCUGAUGCAGCCGAGAAAGGAGCAGUAGCAACGGCGGCCCUUCUUGGCCGUCUGCUGUCAAAAACACGUGGGAGAGAGAGAGAGAGAGAGGACAGAUAAGAGGCAGUGGCAAAGGUGGAGGGGCCGUGAGGGGGUGCGACUGCUGGGGAUUCACGCCGGAAGGAGGACAGCGGCGUGGUCAGUUCCGAGAGAGAGAAAAUGAAGGAGCCGAUAGAGAGAUAAGAGAUAGAGAGGGCGGCGGGUUGUGAGGAAGGAGAGAGAAUAGGGUUGUGAAGAAAA
rnacentral:lncRNA from 1 species